UAGUAGAGCCAAUUGGCGCCCAAUUAGCUGGGUAUUAGCGGCUGCCAACACGUAUGACGGACCACGUGCACCUUUUUCCCAAUCUACCAAUAUCAAAUUUGAUUCUUGCUACAUUAUUACCUUCCGAAUCAGCAACUGUCGAACUGAAAUGGCCCAGAAUCGCACAAGCCACAACAACUGUAAUGACAGCUGCAUUCUUAUUUUGUACUCUCAUGUUGCGUCUUGCGUUAUGUGUAUGAACACCAGAAUCUCACAUGACUGCGUUUAAACAACACUGAUAAAAUUAUAUCGCUAAGAGGACUCAAACUUAUAUAAUACUACAACAGUAGUAAAUCGAUUUAUCAAUGAAUAUUGACUCGGUCAAUGAGAAAUUAAUGAUAAUAAAAAAUCGAAUCGANG